GACAGAGGGUGCAAACGUUGUUCGGAAUUACUGGGCGUAAAGCGUGUGUAGGCGGUCCACUAGGUCGGGUGUGAAAGCCCUGGGCUCAACCCAGGAAGUGCACUCGAAACUGGCGGGCUAGAGUAUCGGAGAGGUUGGUGGAAUUCUCGGUGUAGAGGUGAAAUUCGUAGAUAUCGAGAGGAACACCGGUGGCGAAGGCGGCCAACUGGACGAAUACUGACGCUGAGACACGAAAGCGUGGGGAGCAAACAGG
rnacentral:rRNA from 1 species